AUAUGAUGCUGUUUAUUAUCCUCCUUCGUGUACAUCAGUCCUCAGACCUGACAGAUAGACUUUAUUAACUCCUGAAAAGUUCAGGACUUUGUCACAGUUUAAGUGUUUAAGAGCAGUAGCUGAACCAGGAGAACCUGUUGGACUACUAGCAGCACAAUCGAUUGGUGAACCUUCCACUCAGAUGACAUUGAAUACAUUUCAUUUUACCAGUAGAGAAGAAAUGAACGUCACACUAGGGAUACCAUGUCUAAGAGAGAUAUUACUGUUAUCAAAACUUUGGUUACAGUGGGAUGUGUAGCAUAACAAUAACUGCAAUAACUACAUGGAUAA